UGAGACCAUGAUCCGAGUCAAAAUCUAGAGUCGGAGGCUCAAUUGACUGAGCCACCCACGCGCCCCACCACCGCCCCUUUCUUAUCCCAAACAUCCCUUACUUAGCACACUGAACCUGGAAGUCUAAAUGACAGUCUCUGCCUCUGGCUUUGUUCUUUCCCUUCCAGUUCCUGGCCUGGGAUCAUCUUUGCCCCUUCCUACCUUUCCAGAGCAGAACCUGGCUCUUUGCGGCACAACAGUGGGGGUAGCUUCUGAUUAGGAAAGAGAGCUCCGGUCAGGGUGGCAAAUUUGUCCCGGUAUUCCCAGAACUUCCUGGAUUAAAAAAUUGAAAGUCCCACAUCCCAGGAACCCCCUCAUUCCAGCAAGGAGGUAUUUGUGGAGGCUUCCAAGAAGACAAACUGAACUGGAUGGGAUGUUUGCUUUCACGGAUCAGAAAUGAAUCACAUCACUUUCUUUCAGUAACGACACAGAGUUGCAGAGUCACAAGAAAGAAACAACAGAAAGAAAAUGUUUUCGGGGUGGCGGGGGGGAGGUUGUGAAUAAAGGCUCCUGCGUGGAGACCCAGGAUUGUGAGACAGAGAUUGACAAUGUUUGACUGUGGUUGCCUCUAGAAGGACAAUAAACUUGCCAUGCUUAUUUACAACUA